rnacentral:rRNA from 1 species
CGACCGGCGCACGGUGAGUAACGCGUAUCCAACCUGCCCACCACUUGGGAUAACCUUGCGAAAGUAAGACUAAUACCCAAUGAUAUCUCUAGAAGACAUCUGAAAGAGAUUAAAGAUUUAUCGGUGAUGGAUGGGGAUGCGUCUGAUUAGCUUGUUGGCGGGGUAACGGCCCACCAAGGCGACGAUCAGUAGGGGUUCUGAGAGGAGGGUCCCCCACAUUGGAACUGAGACACGGUCCAA